rnacentral:lncRNA from 1 species
AAAAUAUUUGAAGGAUUUUCAAUGCAUUAUUGUAAUAAGUCACUGUUUUAUUAAAAGCGAUUUUAUUUGAGAAUAUUCCUUUAUUCUUUUAUUUGUUUCAGUGAUUUGACUGUGGCCAUGCUGGAGCACUACUUUUAGUCGAACAAAUCAACCCCAGGACUUAUUCUUUGUAAGCCUAGUACUUAUUUUAUCGAUCUCUUUUGCUAAACCACUAUCUUAUGGGGACGUGAAUGCACCAAGAUCGGUUGUUAAGUGAUGGUAGUGAGGGAUAAACACAGACACACAAACACACAUACAUGUAUCAAUAUAUAUAUGAUGAGCUUCUUUCUGUUUUCAUCUACCAAAUCCAUUCAAAUCCAAGACUUUGGUUGGCCUGAGGCUAUAGUGGAAGACACUUGCCCAAGGUGCCAUGCAGUGGGACUGAACCCGGAACCAUGUGGUUGGUAAGCAAGUUACUUACCAUACACCCACUCCUGCGUAUAUAUAUAUAUAUAUAUAUAUUAUAUGUCAAGCUUCUUUCAGUUUCUGUCUACCAAAUCCACUCACAAAGCUUUGGUUGGCCUGAGGCUAUAGUGGAAUACACUUGCCCAAAGUGCCAUGCAGUGUGGAACGUUAGGCAAGUGCCUUCAACUAUGGCCUUGGACCAACCAAGGCCUUGUGGGUGGAUUUGCUUGAUGGAAACUGAAGGAAGCCCAUUCUAGAUGUGUAUGUAUAUAUAUAUUUGUGUGUGUGUGUGUGUGUGUAUUUACACACAUAUGUAUACAUAUUCUUUUAUUCUUUUAUUUGUUUCAGUCAUCUGACUAUGGCCAUGCUGGAGCAUCACCUUUUUAUUUGAACAAAAUGACCCCCAGGACUUAUUGUUUGUAAGCCUGGUACUUAUUCUAUUGGUCUCUUGCUGAACCACUAAGUGACAGGAACGUAAACACACCAACAUUGGUUGCCAAGCGAUGAUGGAGGAGGGAAGACAAAAACUAAUAGAUAUUUAUACACACCACACACACACAUAUGUAUAUGUGCGUAUGUGUAUAUAUAUAUAAAAUUAUAUGUGUAUAUAUAUAUAUAUAUAAUUAUAUGUAUGUAUGUGUGUGUGUGUGUGUGUGUGUGUGUGUUAUACAAUAGGUUUAUUUCAUUUUUUAUCUACCAUACCCUUUGGUUGGUGAGGCUAUAACAGAGGACCUUUGCCUAAAGUGCUGUGCAGUGGGACUGAACCUGAAAUUUUUUGCAGAUAGCCAUACAGUUUUCAGCUUCUCUGACAAAACUAAAAACUUAUACAAAUUGUAGAGCAGCACUGAGACCAAGUUGUUAAAUAAUAAAUAACGCAAUAAAGUGACAGACAAGACUUAGCACGCAAAUGAAAAUGCCAAGGAAUGACGAAGUCUUGUGACAGCCUUGCCUUAUUGGGUUUCACCAACAGUACACACCAUUUACCUUUCGGUAAAUGAUGUGUCAGUUGUCUUUGUUCAAAUGACUGCCUGCUGGCAUUUUACCAUUUUACCAUUUUACCAUUUUACUUUGUAGCUAGUUGAGAAAUAUAAAACUAUAUAUUACACAAAAAUGCGAGAUUUCUUAAGUUUGCAAUCGUUCUUGAAAAUAAUACUGCCUGAUAAGAGAAGGUAGUUGGAAGAUACACAACUUAUAUAUAUUGGUAUAUUUCAUAUACUACGCAUUUAAUUUGUGAUAAUGAUAUUUGGAGCUAAAGUAAAAUGAUAAAGAGCAAGCAUACUUUAAGCUAUAAGUAGAUUAACAUUGCAACUGUACUUGUAUAAAGUUCUUGAUAUCCUGCCACCAAAUUCAUUUGUUGUCCUGGAGUAUCAAUCACAAAUAUUUUACUUUCUACUUUAUCUGUAUAUGCCUAGGAAUUUGCUGCAAUUUUGUAGUUGAAAUAAAUUAAUUAACCCUUUUUUACCAUAGAUUCUGGCAUAGCUGUGUGGUAAGAAGUUUGUCUUGCAAUCACAUGGAUCCAGGUUCAGUCCCACUGUGUGGCACCUUGGGCAUGUAUUUUCUACUAUACUAAGGCCUUAUACUGAACAAAGCCUUGUGUGUGGAUUUGGUGGACAGAAACUGAAAGAAGGCGGUGAGCUGGCAGAAACAUUAGCACACCGGGCGAAAUGCUUUGCGGUAUUUCAUCUACUGCUACAUUCUGUGUUUAAAUUCCGCUGAGGUCGAUUUUGCUUUUCAUCUUUUCAGGGUCAAUAAAUUAAGUACCAGUUACGCACUGGGGUCGAUAUAAUCGACUUAAUCUGUCUGUCUGUCCUUGUUUGUCUCCUCUGUGUUUAGCCACAUGUGGGUAGUAAAGAAAUAGGUAUUUCGUCUGCCGCUACGUUCUGAGUUCAAAUUCCACUAAAGUUAACUUUUCCUUUCAUCCUUUUGGGGUUGAUUAAAUAAGUACCAGUUAUGCACUGGGGUUGAUAUAAUCGACUUAAUCCAUUUGUCUGUCAUUGUUUGUCCCUUCUGUGUGUAGCCCCUUGUGGGCAGUAAAGAAAUAAGAAACUGAAAGAAGCCCAUCAUAUAUGUGUGUGUGUGUGUGUGUGUGUGUGUGUGUGUUCCCCACUACUGUUUGACAACCAGUGUUGGUGUGUUUACAUCCCAGUAAUUUAAUGGCUCAACAAAAGAGACCAAAAGAAUAAAUAGCAGGCUUAAACACAAAUAAAUAGCAGGGGUUGAUUCAUUUGACCAAAAAUUCUUCAAGGUGGUUCUUCUAAUAAUUGAAACAAGGAAAAUAUGAAAGAUAUUUUCGCUGAAAAAUAUUGCCUUUGUUUCAAUUAUUUUGGAAAUAAUAAAGAAUUUAGUAAAAUAACUUUGUCCUUAUUUACCAAAUUUUUGGAGCAUAAAUUAAAACAAAAAUUUGAUGAAAGAUUUUAUUUCAGAUCAUUUUCUAUCAUAGAACCAACCAAAGGCAGUUUUGUGUUGUUUGUUAUCAAAAGGGUUAAAUUUCAAUUGAAUUGAAAAAUUGUAAAUUAUUCUGACCCAAAGUAUUCCAUUUCUCAAAUAUCCAUAAACAGGUGUGAUAUUGGUGAUAAGUAGACGACUAUUUUGUGCUUUCAAGUAAAUGACUAAACUUUGUAUGUGAUAUAUUUAAUGCUUUCAUUUAAUCUUUGACGUAUAAAAUCUGUUAGAACUCAAAGACCAAACAUGUUAUACUAUAAACAUAGACUCAUGCUGGUGCCAUGUUAAAAGCACCCAGCACACUGUAAAGUGGUUGGCAUUAGGAUGGGCAUCCAGUAAUAGAAACCAAGCGAAAUCAGACUGGAACCUGGUGCAGCUCUCUGGCUUGCCAGCUCUAGCCAAACCAUCCAACCCAUGCUAUAUUAUAUAAAAUUCUUUCUGUCUGUGUGUGUGUCUUCUGGGAUCUCGGGCAUCCUCCAUCUGAUUGCGCUCAAAUUUGAUAUGUAGAUACUAACGGUAUCAGGGCAUGUAUAAGUCUUGAAAAAAAUUAUAAAAAUCAAUUCCAGGUGAGAAUGCGAUCAAUAAAGCCGUGGGAACAUGGAAAAUGGACGUCAAAGGAUGGCGAUGCUGACGAUGAUAGACUAUAGACAUUAAUGUGAAAUGUAGGCCUUUAAUACAACUCAUACAGACAUCAAUAAGUGUAUACAGGAAAAAAACAUAUCUGACCGUGGGAAAAUAUUACUUUGCAUGGAAACAGGUGAGGAUUGGCAAUAGGAAGGACAUCCAGCCAUAAACAAAUCUGCUUCAACACGUUCCAUCUGACCCAUGCAAGCAGAGAAAAGUAGAAGUUAAACAAGGAUGAUCUCUGUGGAUAGUUAAGCGAAGCUCUCAAAUGCUUAUGAAAUCCUAACAUAAACUUAAAACUCAUGCAGCUGAUUACUCUUCUUCAAUCCAUGAAUAUAUUGUAUAUAAAGAUAUGUUAGUUAUAUCUGUCCUUUAUAUACACUGUUGACUAUUAACUAUAAAUAUAUUCAGAAAGAUUUUAUGAUACGAAAUAGUAUUGAAAUGAAACACUGUUAACAUAACUGACACAAGUUGAAUUCUCAAAGUGCCUAAAAUUCUUUUAUGACAAGACUAAUUAUUUCCAUUUGUUUGUCUAUCUAUCCAUACAUAUAUACAUAUAUAUAUAUAUAGAGAGAGAGAGAGAGAAAGAGAAAGACAGACAGACAGACGCACCCACAUCCUUCAAACCAUCCAUCCAUUCAACCAUGAUUAUAUAUACAUAUACAUAAAUACAAUAAGAUAUUAUAACAUAUUGACAUAUCAAAUAAAAUAUAUUAAAUAGAUUAGGUAGCUCAUUAACCACCUAUAUCAUAAUGUAUUUAAUACAUUUUAUUUAAUGAGUGGCUGUGUGGUAAGUAGCUUGCUUACCAGCUACAUGGUUCCGGGUUCGUUCCCACUGUGUGGCACCUUGGGCAAGUGUCUUAUACUAUAGCCUCGGGCCGACCAAAGCCUUGUGAGUGGAUUUGUUAGACGGAAACUGAAAGAAGCACAUCGUAUAUAUGUGUGUGUAUAUAUAUAUAUAUGUGUGUGUGUAUAUAUAUAUAUAUAUAUAUAUAUGUGUGUGUGUGUGUGUGUUUAUGCGUCUGUAUUUGUCCCCCACCCACCUACCCAACAUCGCUUGACAACCGAUGCUGGUGGGUUUAUGUCCCCGUAACUUAGCUGUUUGGCAAAAGAGAACGAUAGAAUAAGUACUAGGCUUACAAAGAAUAAGUCCUGGGGUCGAUUUGCCUGACUAAAAGCAGUGCUCCAGCAUGGCCACAGUCAAAUGACUGAAACAAGUAAAAGAGUAUAUAAGAAAGAGAGAGAAAGAGACAGAUGCACACACAUCCUUCAAAUCAUCCAUCCAUCCAUCUAACCAUGGUUACAUAUACAAUACAUUGUCUAAGACUCCAUGUCAGAAAAAAUAUGCAUUCGUAUACUUCUCAACAGAGUGGGUGUAUUAAUCAAAGUGUACAGUAUUAUGUAGCCAUUACAGCCAACCUUACCAAUCGGUUUCAUGGUGGGAGUUCUACAGAUUUGUACAAGGUUACAUAAUCAAGCUGUUAUCUAACACUCCAUUGAACCUCAAGAGCAAAACCCAUUGGUAAGAUCAGCUGUAAUGGAUAUAUAAUACAGAACACUUCAAGUAAUAUAUAUAUACAUAUAUAUAUGUGAAUAUGUAUAUGUAUAUAUAUAUAUAUAUAUAUAUAUAUAUAUAUAUAUUUUAUUAUAUGUUUUCCAGCUUCAGCUCUUGAGCUAUGGCCAUGCUGGGGCACCACCAUAUAUAUAUAUAUAUAAAUUAGAAAAAAACACCUUUUAUCAACUCAAAAUGAACAAUAAAUUACACCAUCUAGAAAAUUACAUAUAAUAGAAAUAUUAAAUAUAAAAUAACAAUAAUAUAUCGAUGAUUAAGUAAAUUGCAAAAUAAUAAAUAAAACGUAUGUAUUUGUUAAUAUAUAUAUAUAUAUAUAUUGGGUCAUCCCAUAAAUGAUGUGGUUUUUUCAGUUGCAUGGACUAAAAGUCAGAGGGGGACGGGAUAAACUACCUGCAUCAACUUGCUAUAAAAGCAGGCAGUAAUUUUACCUUUUAGUGAAGAAUGAACUUUGUUAUAACCUUGUAACCUUAUUCAUAGUGCAAGUUUUGAAGAGUGUAAUUUGAUUUUAACAGUUAUUUUUUAAAGCUAUAAUGGAAGUGACAAAGGAGCAUAUUCAACAUAUUCUGCUUUAUGAGUUCAAUAAAGGCAACAAUGCAACAGAAAGUCCAAGGAAUAUUAGUGUAGUAUAUGGGGAUUGGACAAUAAGCAUAAGCCAGCAUCAGUGGUGGUGCCAGGAAUUCCGAGCCAGAAACUACAGCCUAGAAGAUGAGUCUUGUCCUGGAAGAUCCUUAGAGCUUGAUGAGGAUGGCUUGCAAACCCUGAUGGAACAAAAUCGCACCGUAGCUGCUGAGGGACUAGCAAAGAAGCAUGUAUUUGGUCAUUCAACCUUUCAUUGACACCCGCGUGCCUUCAGAAAAGUCAGCAAAUUGGGUCAAUGUGUUCCUCAGAAACUUUCUGAAUCUAAUUGUUCACAGAGAGUAAAUGUGUGCUCUUCUUUGCUGUCACACCUCACAAAUGAUUUUUUUUGGACAAAAUAGUGACUGGUGACCUUUAGGAACAUUGUGUACUCUAGAACUAUCUUAUAUUUUGCAUUUGUGGCUCCGUUGGUGGCUAAUGAGCCCUGCUCUUGAUAAGUAUACCACGACUGUAGACAUUGCAAACCAAGCUUUCUCCAUUUACUACAUUAGCAGUAAGCUUUCAAGCAGCAUGCUUAAAUUCUUCAUGCAGAAUAAGUACUCUCUCAAAGGUGUCGACCCCCUCUUUAACCUGCUUCCUCCAUCUUCCUCCCAGUCAGUCUCCUGCAUAUCACAGGCCUUUAAUGAGGACUUGACACAGCCCUUAAAUCAUAGCCUUGGUUUCUGCCAGAGUCUCUUUCUACUAACAAGUUUCCCAUAUAGCAUCUUCUUAGGGAUCCUGCUAUCCUUCAUUCUAGUAAGGUGUCCAACCCAACAUAACCAGUGCUUGUGCACCAUUGCCUCAAUACUCAAGAUAUCAGCUGUCCUAAUUUUCUGAGGAAAGAUAAUGCUUUGCAAGAAACCAGAAACAUGAUUCCUAAGUUUUUGCAUGUCAUCUGCUGUAUGAGUGACUAAGUCACAGUCAUCUGCAUAAAGGAGGUCAUGAACAAGAGACUGGAAAACUUUUGAAUUGGGAGUAAAUCAGUGCAGAUUAACCCUUUUGUUACUAUCCUGGCCAAAACUGGCUCUGGCUCUGUGGUAAAAUGUCUUGUUUUCAUAAGUUUUGAAUUAAAAUAUUCCACCAAGCCUUAGUCACAAUUUACGUUCCUAACACUAGAUUAAUGAUAACUAAGUUAUUUUACUAAAUUCUUUGUUAUUUUAAAAAUAAUUGAAAGAAACACAGAGCAUCUCAAAAUAAAUACAGUAACAAAAGGGUUAAAGAGGCGGCUAGAAGAUUGAUACCUGACAUACAUUCCCAGAGAGCUAACCUUAGCAAAAGCAUGAGUAAAAGCAGUAGCAAAGUACAAAGAAAAGAGAGUUAGGGCAAGGAUGUCACCCUGCUUGACACCAUUCUCUAAAAGAAUGGGUCCUGCCAUAUCAUCACCAACAUUAACUCAAGCCUCUAUCCCAUCAUGAAAUGAUUUAAUUAUAGAUACAAAGUGAUACGGACAUCUAAGUUUGCCAAGCAUUUUCCAUAGCAAGGCCCUAUUCACAUUAUGAUGAUUGCCUUGGUUAAAUCAAUGAAUACCUGAACAAGAUCAAUAUUCUGCUCAUAGCACUUCUCCUGCAUCUGUCUUGCUGUGAAAAUCAUAUCCAUUGUCCCUUUACCAGAUCGGAAGGCACAUUGAGAUUCAGAUAGGACAUCAUUUAUGAGACACACAUUCAGGUGGGUAAGCGAGGAGCCUGGUCGGACAGGAAAGUAUGUAACUGAUAAUAAAAGUAAGAGGCUUGAUGCCUCACUUUUAUUGUAUUUUAUUGAAUUGUGUAAGAGGUUUAUUGCCUCGCUAUGAAACUUAAAAAGAACAAUGUUUUAGGGUAAACAGCAAUCGGCGGGCAUUGCUUGUUGCCCUCAUUUUUCACCAUUUCAUUUGUCAUUCAUAUCAUUAUGUGUGUGUCUAGCCCACAGCUUCCUUUUUGUGUAAGGCCCCUGUGGCCAAUUAAAUGAAUAAAAGAAUAUUUGCCAGAAUCUUGCCAGCAGCUGACAGUAGAGCAAUACCUCUGUAGUUACCACACAUUGUUCUGGCUCCUUUCCCUUUAUAGAGAGGAAGAAUAAUUACAUCCUUCCAGUCCUUAGGCAUUGCAUCAUCCCUCUAGACUACACUAAUAAGUUCCUGAAGGGACUGUAAUAUGUAAUCACCACCAAAUCGCAAGACCUCAGCACAAAUUCCAUUCCUUCCAGGUUCCCUACCAGGAUUCAAUUUACUUAUUGAUGUUAUUACCUCAUCUAUUGAGGGCAUGGAAUUUAUGGAGCCAAUAAUAGGUCUUUGUUGCAUAGUUUCAGUCACUGUUUCAUCCACAACUGACUCAUGGCUUAGGAGUUCAGAGAAGUGUUCAAUCCAGCGACUUGUGGUUUCUGUUGAUUUAGUAAAUAGGGUAGAAGACUCCUUGGAAAGCAAAGGAGUUGAUGCAGAGCUCUUAGGCCCAUAAACUUGCUUCAUUAGAUGGUAAAGCUUCUUGCUGUCAUUUGCAUCAGCAGCAGCCUGAACAUCACGAGCAAGAUCCUCCCAGUAAGUGUUCUUCAUCUUCCUGAGAGAUCACUGCAGUAGUGAUUUUACAUUGCUAUACUGGGCAAGUGCUAGAUUUCACUGCACAGCUGAAAGUCCUCUGUGCAGCAAUAUAUUGUGGGCAUGGUGCUUUACAAAACACACACAAACAUACACACACACACACACACACACACACACACACACACACACACACACACACACACACACACAUACAUACAUACAUACAUACAUACAUACAUACAUACAUACAUACAAGGAGAAAGCUAAUUCGAAGACUACAGAUCCCAUUCAACACUGGAAUUAUAAAAAUCUGUAAAACUUUCCAGAAGUUUAUCAUUUAAAUACAUAUGAGCAUGUCUAGAUAUGUGGCUAUAUGCAUGAGAAUACAUGCAUACAUAAAACAUACAUACAUACAAAGGAAAAUACUCUGUUGUUGAUGCUGAAACUCCAAUGAAGGAGCCUUGGAUCUAGGUUAGAAACUGGUUCUUUCUCUAUUGGCAAGAAAUCUUGGAAUAAACUGAAUAAUGACAUACAUGCAUACAUACAUACAUACAUACAUACAUACAUACAUACAUACAUACAUACAUACAUACAUACAUACAUACAUACAUACAUAGAAGCUAGCAAGCAGGCACAUAAACAAAUGUUUGUUUCUUUGUCAGUUAUAUAUAAAAACAAUUUACAGUUUAAUUUUUUAAUACUUUUUAGUAGAGUACAUUUUUAUUUAUUUUUACAUGGUAAAAGUUGAUAGUGACUUUGAAGUUUUGGCUCAUUUGCUGUCAUCAAACUGUCUAAUGACAGCAAGCAAGUUGAACCUUCAAAGGCACUGUCAAUCUUUUCCUAGUAAAAAUUUGGGCAAGUGUCUUCCACUAUAGCCGCGAGCUGACCAAAGGCUUGUGAGUGGAUUUGGCAGACGGAAACUGAAAGAAGCCCGUCAUAUAUAUAUGUAUGUAUCUGUGUGUGUAUAUGCUUGUGUGUCUAUGUUUGUCCCCCCAACAUCGCUUGACAACCGAUGCUGGUGUGGUUACGUCCCCAUAAUUUAGCAGUUUAGCAAAAGAGACUAAUAGAAUAAGUACUAGGAUUACAAAGAAUAAGUCCUGGGGUCAAUUUGCUCGACUAAAGGCAGUGCUCCAGCAUGGCCGCAGUCAAAUGACUGAAACAAGUAAAUGAGUAUAUAUAUAUAUGCACAACAUACACACACACACACACACACACACACACACACAAGAACUCUUGUUCAAAAUCUAUUUACUCUUAUGUUCCAUUUUGGAAAAAAAAUGUUUCCAUUACUCCUUUAGAAUUAAGCUAAUUUACCAUUCUAUAUUUAAUGAUGCCAUAUUAUAUCUUAUUAUGAGAAGUGAUAUGUCUGAUAAUUGCUGUACAGACAUAUCUGAGGAAAGAUAAUUUUUAAUUAUAUUCUGUUUACUGGAACCAUUCCACUGAUGCAUGACUAAUUGUCAAUUUUACAGUAUUUCUUUUCCAGCCUUGGUAGUUUAGCAACAUACAAGAUAAUGUUAAUCAUUUAAAGUUUGCUAUUUCCUGUUACCUCUAAGGUUUAAAAUUGCAUUAUAAUAAUUAAAGAAAAAAAUUCAACCUUCGUCUUCUCAGACACACUAUCAAUUUUCAAACCUUACUUUUGAAUAAAAAAUUGUGUCACUGAUAUCAAGAAAUAAGAGAAAUCUGAUACAAUAUGUGUAGAUUUUCAAACAUAUGUUCCCUAGCAGACAGUUAGUAAAAGGGAGAUAAUCAUUUCUUCAUAACAUUUGGUAGGAGCAGAAAUUUGAAUUCGAAAUUAAAGAAUAAGGAAGUUGAUAUGCAGAAUACACAUAUGUAUAUUUUUUUUUGCUUACUUAUGAUUGAAUGUCUUAAAAUCUAUAGUCUUAGAUAAUUAUGUGUAGCACCAUUUCAUUCUUUUUAGAAAUCAUCAGUGUGACAUACCUAAAGGUGUUUAAAUUAAACAUUAUGAUGCAUGACAUUUAUUAUAGAUGAAAUAUAUAUAUAUAUAAUUAUUUUUCAGAAUGACAUAAAAACCAAUGGUGUGAAGAUUUUAGAACAUUUAUGAAUA